rnacentral:rRNA from 1 species
UGAGCAAUCUGCCCUUGACUCUGGGAUAAGCCUGGGAAACCGGGUCUAAUACCGGAUAUGACUGCCGGCCGCAUGGCCUGGUGGUGGAAAGCUUUAUUGUGGUUUUGGAUGGACUCGCGGCCUAUCAGCUUGUUGGUGAGGUAAUGGCUCACCAAGGCGACGACGGGUAGCCGGCCUGAGAGGGUCGACCCGGCCACACGUGGGACUGAGACACCGGCCCAGACCUCCGUACGGGGAGCAG